GAAACCCUGUGGGAAGCAGGAGGGACCACCCUCCAAGGCUAAAUACUACCUAGUGACCGAUAGCGUAUAGUACCGGGAGGGCAAGGUGAAAAGAACCCCGGGAGGGGAGUGAUAUAGAACCUGAAACCCUGCACUUACAAGCUGUGGAAGCACAUUUCUUGUGUGACCGCGUACUUUUUGUAGAACGGGCCAACGAGUUACGU
rnacentral:rRNA from 1 species